GCUGGAGAGGAGCGGACUCUUCCUGAUCGGCUCAUCCCGAGUCCUGUCCCUAGCAGACGCUUCGGUGGUUCUCAAAGUCAAUUUCCAGGGGUUUCUGUGACUAGUUCUAUUUCAGCGACAGGCAGCCAGCCUCACGGUACGGAGGUCGCGGUGGGCUCCGUCACGUGAUCCCGGAAGGCCACGUGACCGAAAGUUGGGGAAGAGGGCUCUGUUGUCCAUUAACGCGAAUUAUGAAACUAAUCCUUUGGAGCUGAUUCACAGAACAGUGGAAAACAAUGCAGUUUGAAAAGGAACAAGAAUAUUACAAGAGGGGAAACAAGAAAGUAUUACAAGAGGGCUUUGGGAGACCUUGGAUCUACAGAUCCUGGUAAGUAAACUUCAGUUACAGACAUGAGUAUUGACUUGUGCAGCCUGGCCUAUUAAUAUGAACAGAUACUACACUUCAUCUUAGCCAAAAGGCAAAGAAGCAGUCAUGGCCCUCUUUUAGAAUAAAACCUGAAUCUUAAGCA
rnacentral:lncRNA from 1 species